GUGUGUGACAGGAGUGUCUGGAGCAGCAGACCUCUGUCUGCAGGCUGGUAGCUAGCUCAGAUCUGGGUCAGCCCAUUCGGAUGGACUCUUCCCAUGACAUGCCCAUGACCUUCCCCAUGCAGCCACUGAAGCCCCUUACUUGAAGCUGCAGCAUCCUUCCAAUGAAAGCCAAUGAAAAUCACCUUCAGGUGCCACCUGGAGUGCCCAUCCUUUGCAUCACACAGCGGCCCACGGCUCUCUCUGGUGCACGUUCAUGGUGUGAGAAUGGCACUCUGCGUGUGAAUGCUGAUAUGCUGUAGUCCCAUCGGACAAGUCGGAGCCACAUCUGGAAGUCAAUGUCUGCUUCAUGGGGUAAUGGCUGAUUCGUGGAUCUGCAGAGAGAUGGGGAGCAGAAGGGAGGGCUGCACUUUGACGCCCAGCGCCUCAACCACCUCCACAACUCCCCCACCCAAAUCAGGAAUGAAGAGAUACCAUCACCACCACCAGUUAAUUGAUGUGCUUCUAACCUCAAGGUCUUGUUAAUUUCCAGAAGAAUUUAGGCCGAGGAAGCAGCAUCUAGCUAAUAAAGGAGCUCUGGAUUUGUCCCUUCUGGAAGGGCUGCCAGGCAACGCGCUGGCCUGAGUGAGAUGGAGAGGAGGCAACCUGUGAACAAAUGCAAACCCCAAGGAAAGUCUCAGAUCUUUUAAAAUGAAAGAGAACCCCUCAGGAAGGGAGAGAUGUGCAGAGGCACAGCUGCUGCCAGCAGGGAGCUGCUCAUCAAGAGCUCCUCUGAAGGCAGACUGCAGCAAGGAGGAGCGCUGGCCUUUGGAGCACGGGGCUUCUGCUGGCACCAGGCACAUCCAUGACGGGAGGGCAAACAAGCACAUCUUGGGCUACUAUUCCACUGUAAGAGGAUGACUUUCCUGGAUCUCUGCUGGUGGAGAAUGACCAGGAGCUGUGGGCGAAGCCAACUGACAGACCUGAAGGUAAUCUUCUGAGAAGCACACCCUGCACAGAAUCAUAGGAUCGUGGAAUCAUUUGAACUGGAAGGGACUUUUAAAGGCCACCUGGUCCAACCCCCCUGCAAUGAGCAGAGACACCUACAGCUCCAUCAGGUGCUCAGAGCUGUGUUCAGCCCCACUUUGCAUGUCUCCAGGAAUGGGGCAUCCCCUAUGAAAUGUAUAAAUAACUCUGAAACGUGAAUAACUUGAAGUUUUUUUCUUCUUCAAAAUUCAGUGGCACAAUACUGAACACCAGAUAAUGUGGCCCACUGGAUAAUACCCUAAGUGGGUAUUAUUGUCUGAAUGGAUUUGCUGACAGGGGAUUGUGUUGCUUGUACAGUAAAGGAGUUAUUCUUGGCUUUAUACCCAUUAAAAUACUAACUGAAACAAUAAGUAUACAUUAAUGAUAGGCCAAUGAUGGAAAUUUAGGUUUAAAAUUCAGUUCCACCGAAGUGGGAUCCUCUUCUAAAUAAGCUGAGGGUAAAGAC